UCGACGAACUCUGGUAUUGAUUGGUGCUUGCAUCAUGAUUUACAUUUGAGUGAGUGGCGAACUGGUGAGUAACACGUGGGAAACCUGCCCAGAAGCGGGGGAUAACACCUGGAAACAGAUGCUAAUACCGCAUAACAACUUGGACCGCAUGGUCCGAGUUUGAAAGAUGGCUUCGGCUAUCACUUUUGGAUGGUCCCGCGGCGUAUUAACUAGAUGGUGGGGUAACGGCUCACCAUGGCAAUGAUACGUAGCCGACCUGAGAGGGUAAUCGGCCACAUUGGGACUGAGACACGGCCCAAACUCCUACGGGAGGCAGCAGUAGGGAAUCUUCCACAAUGGACCAAAGUCUGAUGGAGCAACGCCGCGUGAGUGAAGAAGGGUUUCGGCUCGUAAAACUCUGUUGUUAAAGAAGAACAUAUCUGAGAGUAACUGUUCAGGUAUUGACGGUAUUUAACCAGAAAGCCACGGCUAACUACGUGCCAACAGCCGCGGUAAUACGUACGUGGCAAGCGUUGUCCGGAUUUAUUGGGCGUAAGCGAGCGCAAGCGGUUUUUUAAGUCUGAUGUGAAAGCCUUCGGCUCACCGACAGUGCAUCCGAACUGGGAAACUUGAUGCAGACAGGA
rnacentral:rRNA from 1 species